rnacentral:lncRNA from 1 species
UUUAGUUCUCUUUGGGAUUGAGUUCUAUUUUGAGUUAUUGUUGAGUUCCUCUAUUGGAGUUUUAAGUGGAUUCAAGGUCAUCAUUGGAUCGUAUAAGGGUGGGUUUCAGUUUUGAGCUUUUUCCAUCGAUUUUGGGGCUUUAUGUGAGGUUGUUUUACGUUAGUGGAGGGUGAUGCGCGGCUUGUUUGGUGGUGGUAUCUGGGAAGAGAUUUGUGUUGAAUCAUAAUCAAGGUUCUGAAAGUGAUUAAAGUCGAUGAAGCAAACUUGGAAUCGUUGAUGACAUGAAGACUAAUCAUCUAUAGGGAGGUUUUGGUAAGUUGUUGGGAGGUCUUGGGGUAUUUUUUUCUUCAAUCUUGUUUGGGAGAGGAUGAUUGUGGCAGAUGGUUGCAACUAUGGGGGCUUAUGGUGAACGGUGAUAACUUGCUUUGUCGGUUUAUGGAUGAAUGAGGUGGUGUUUUGUGGAGAACUUUGAUGUUUCUCAUGGGCUUUGUGCUGAUGAUUUUGUUUUUCAGGAUUGCCUGUGAUUUUGUGGUUGAGUUUCCAUAUCUUUGGUGAUUAGGAGCUUAAUGGUUGGUAGAUUUUAACCAUAUGCGGGUUUUGCAUUUUGUCUGGUUAUCAUGGCGUAUAUGGUGUAGAAUUGAAUUCGGC